ACAGAAGAAGCACCGGCUAACUCCGUGCCAGCAGCCGCGGUAAUACGGAGGGUGCGAGCGUUAAUCGGAAUUACUGGGCGUAAAGCGCACGCAGGCGGUUUGUUAAGCUAGAUGUGAAAGCCCCGAGCUCAACUUGGGAUGGUCAUUUAGAACUGGCAGACUAGAGUCUUGGAGAGGGGAGUGGAAUUUCUAGUGUAGCGGUGAAAUGCGUAGAUAUUAGAAGGAACAUCAGUGGCGAAGGCGACUCCCUGGCCAAAGACUGACGCUCAUGUGCGAAAGUGUGGGUAGCGAACAGGAUUAGAUACCCUGGUAGUCCACACCGUAAACGCUGUCUACUAGCUGUUUGUGAGUUUAACUCGUGAGUAGCGAAGCUAACGCGCUAAGUAGACCGCCUGGGGAGU
rnacentral:rRNA from 1 species